UGCUGCCCGCCUCCCAGAAGCUGGAGCCUCCUCCCAGCAGGCAGAGCCACCCUGCACCUGAAGACAUCCAGAUUCUCCCCCUGGAGCUGGGGAAGCAUCAGCGGCAGCAGGCGGAGGAGGAACUGUGGAGGCUGCCCCUGCAGCCCCUCUGCUGUGGUCCGGGGACCUCACCCUUCUACUGCCCCGCGGGGCGGGAAAGCCAGGCCUUUGUCUCCACAGCACAGCCAUCCUCCCUCCCAGCUGGAAGUGCCAACGUGAACCCAUCCUGAGAUGCCAAAUCCUGCCGUGGGGGAGGUAGCAUUCCCAUCCCAGGGUGCCCAGCCCAGAAGACCAGCCCAGCCCCCACCUUCUGAUUCUGUGCAGGGGGGUAAGAAGACCAUCAGCCAUUUAUUAUUCCUCAACCAACCUAGAGACUGAAAGUGAGUUGGAACUCACUGUGGACACCGAGUCCAUUCCUUUGGGCAGGGGCUGGACAACCCCUUCCCCUCUGGGGUGCCCACACA